rnacentral:rRNA from 1 species
UACGUAGGGGGCAAGCGUUAUCCGGAUUUACUGGGUGUAAAGGGAGCGUAGACGGCUCGAUAAGUCUGAUGUGAAAGCCCGGGGCUCAACCCCGGGACUGCAUUGGAAACUGUUGAGCUAGAGUGCAGGAGAGGUAAGUGGAAUUCCUAGUGUAGCGGUGAAAUGCGUAGAUAUUAGGAGGAACACCAGUGGCGAAGGCGACUUACUGGACUGUUACUGACGUUGAGGAUCGAAAGCGUGGGGAGCAAACAGG